rnacentral:rRNA from 1 species
UACGUAGGGCGCAAGCGUUGUCCGGAAUUAUUGGGCGUAAAGAGCUCGUAGGCGGUUUGUCGCGUCUGCUGUGAAAACCUAAGGCUCAACCUUGGGCUUGCAGUGGGUACGGGCAGACUAGAGUGCGGUAGGGGUGACUGGAAUUCCUGGUGUAGCGGUGAAAUGCGCAGAUAUCAGGAGGAACACCGAUGGCGAAGGCAGGUCUCUGGGCCGAUACUGACGCUGGAGGAGCGAAAGCGUGGGGAGCGAACAGG